rnacentral:rRNA from 1 species
GACGUAGGGCGCGAGCGUUUGUCCGGAUUUAUUGGGCGUAAAGAGCUCGUAGGCGGCUUGUCGCGUCGACCGUGAAAACUUGGGGCUCAACCCCAAGCCUGCGGUCGAUACGGGCAGGCUCGAGUUCGGUAGGGGAGACUGGAAUUCCUGGUGUAGCGGUGAAAUGGGCAGAUAUCAGGAGGAACACCGGUGGCGAAGGCGGGUCUCUGGGGCCGAUACUGACGCUGAGGAGCGAAAGCGUGGGGAGCGAACAGG